UACGAGGGGGGCGAGCGUUGUUCGGAAUUAUUGGGGUCGUAAAGGGUGCGUAAGGCGGUUUGGUAAGUCUUAUGUGAAAUCUACAGGCUCAACAUUGUAGUCUAGCAUUGAGAAAACUGCCGGGCUUGAGUAUGGGAGAGGUGAGUGGAAUUCCUGGUGUAGCGGUGAAAUGCGUAGAUAUCAGGAGGAACACCUGUGGCGAAAGCGGCUCACUGGACCAUAACUGACGCUGAUGCACGAAAGCUA
rnacentral:rRNA from 1 species